GCCCUGGUGGUCUAGUGGCUAAGAUUCAGGGCUCUCACCACCGUGGCCCAGGUUCGUUUCCUGGUCAGGGAA
rnacentral:tRNA from 1 species